ACUCCUACGGGAGGCAGCAGUAGGGAAUCUUCCACAAUGGGCGCAAGCCUGAUGGAGCAACACCGCGUGAGUGAAGAAGGGUUUCGGCUCGUAAAGCUCUGUUGUUAAGGAAGAACACGUAUGAGAGUAACUGUUCAUACGUUGACGGUAUUUAACCAGAAAGUCACGGCUAACUACGUGCCAGCAGCCGCGGUAAUACGUAGGUGGCAAGCGUUAUCCGGAUUUAUUGGGCGUAAAGAGAGUGCAGGCGGUUUUCUAAGUCUGAUGUGAAAGCCUUCGGCUUAACCGGAGAAGUGCAUCGGAAACUGGAUAACUUGAGUGCAGAAGAGGGUAGUGGAACUCCAUGUGUAGCGGUGGAAUGCGUAGAUAUAUGGAAGAACACCAGUGGCGAAGGCGGCUACCUGGUCUGCAACUGACGCUGAGACUCGAAAGCAUGGGUAGCGAACAGGAUUAGAUACCCUGGUAGGAUAGCGU
rnacentral:rRNA from 1 species